rnacentral:rRNA from 1 species
UGAGGUAGAUAGGUUCGAGGUGGAAGUGUGGUGACACAUGGAGCUGACGAAUACUAAUCGAUCGAGGACUUAACCAAAA